CUUCAAGACAUACAACUGCUUUUGUGCACAUGUUUUGUGAAGACUAAUCAUCCUCAUAGUCUAGUAUGCGAAUAGGCUUCUCAGCCAAACUUGAGACUCGUGUCCCGUGUCGGGGCUCGGCGGAUCCCUCGUCGAGAUAGUCAUAAACAGCAGAGUGGAUGGCUAAAGAUAAAUGAAAUGCACCAAAACAACGGUGAAAGAAAGGACUCACUCCCACAAAGCACUGGAUCUAGGAGUCCAUCGGAAUCUAACCUGGGUAUCAGGGUUUUGCUCGUACACUUGGAAAAGCUGCGGAUCAUUUCGGAAAUAUGAUUAGUCGAUGGCAAGGUCAAAUGCAAAUUAGUGAUCUUACCUUCUGCAAAAUAGCUUGGGCUUCAGACUGUUCAAAGCCCUUAAUACCAAUGGUGUAUCGAGAGUUGACGAAAAGAGCCUUCCAUCCAGUCGCUGGGUGGACUCGAACGAUAGGGUGGGCGUUGAUGAUGGGCUCAAGCUCGCCAGUCACCGGAUUGGGAUAGCUCAGGAGAAAGCUUAUCAUAAGCAGCAUAGCCCGAAGACCAGAGAGUGUCACCGCCAACUCCGGGAAGGUGGUCAAGGUGAAGAUGAGUGACUCCAGGGGGUUGAGGUUCAUAGUCUAGCUUACUCGGUGUGCCACUUUUGGGUGGCAAAAGGGUUUUUGUAGUCGGCAAAACGACCGAUGGACCUGAGGACUUCGUCUGUGAUGAUUGAGACUCCAGGAAGCCCAGGAACUCGGGCGGCUGAAGGAUGAAUCUCGGGAGCACCAAAGUAUUGGCCGAGCUCGAGUUGGGUCUGAGGAGAGAGGUCUCUGAAGAAGGAAUUGUGUGUUGGCGACAACUCGUGGCCUUGCGUAUAAAACGAAUGAUGAGAUAUUACUUACUGGUCUCGGAAAAAUACCACAGUGCGCUCAGCGAUCAGGAGAGCAAGCUCAUCCUUCUGCUGGUCACUAAGCUGGUUAAGUUGAAGACCAACUAUCCUAUGACAAGUGUCAGUGACAAAGCCAAAGAUAGAAUGUAGAUCAAACCAUACUCGGUACCAAGCCCUGACUCCCGGGUCCUUGUGCUCCCAUUCCUGAUUGAUAGACGUUAGUUCGUUAAGUUGCAGUUGGUAUCCUUUCCCAAAAAAAACCCACUUCUUUGCGAAUGCCGCUAGUCAAUGCCGGCUUGAACCAAGCGCUCUAGAGAGAAUUAAGUAUCAUUAAAUAUCUCGGUCAGCGAGAAGCCCAUCUAACGGAAUAUUACGACCAACCUCGAGUACUCUUGGCAAGAGAGAAAGGUCUGCCUAGGGUGUCUUUGUUUGCGUUGUCGUUGACGGCGAUAGGCAUCUUGCAGAAAUGUUAUUCGGGUAAUUGGUAGGGUCAAUAUGUCACUAAUACUGAUAGUUGUAUUCCUCCAUCUCCCGACUUGCCAUUAUAUAUGCAUCUAGCACAGCGGAUCGCUUCGCCCGAAUCGAACCUGAAAUAGACUUGCUUGCUCAGCAAAGACCAA
rnacentral:sRNA from 1 species